rnacentral:rRNA from 1 species
AUUAACGCUAGCGGCAGGCAUAAUACAUGCAAGUUGAACGGCAGCACAGGUAGCAAUACCGGGUGGCGAGUGGCGCACGGGUGCGUGACACGUAUGCAACCUACCCUAUACAGGCGAAUAACCUUUAGAAAUGAGGGCUAAUACGCCGUGGUAUUAUCUUGGGGCAUCUUGAGAUAAUUAAAGAUUUAUCGGUAUAGGAUGGGCAUGCGUCCCAUUAGUUAGUUGGUAGGGUAACGGCCUACCAAGGCUAUGAUGGGUAGGGG